CCUACGGGUGGCUGCAGUGGGGAAUAUUGGACAAUGGGCGAAAGCCUGAUCCAGCCAUGCCGCGUGUGUGAAGAAGGCCUUCGGGUUGUAAAGCACUUUCAGUGGGGAAGAAAGCCUUGGGGCUAAUACCCUCGAGGAAGGACAUCACCCACAGAAGAAGCACCGGCUAACUCUGUGCCAGCAGCCGCGGUAAUACGGAGGGUGCGAGCGUUAAUCGGAAUUACUGGGCGUAAAGCGCGCGUAGGCGGUCUGAUAAGCCGGUUGUGAAAGCCCCGGGCUCAACCUGGGAACGGCAUCCGGAACUGUCAGGCUAGAGUGCAGGAGAGGAAGGUAGAAUUCCCGGUGUAGCGGUGAAAUGCGUAGAGAUCGGGAGGAAUACCAGUGGCGAAGGCGGCCUUCUGGACUGACACUGACGCUGAGGUGCGAAAGCGUGGGUAGCAAACAGGAUUAGAUACCCGGGUAGUC
rnacentral:rRNA from 1 species